rnacentral:rRNA from 1 species
AUUGAACGCUGGCGGCGUGCCUAAUACAUGCAAGUCGAACGGAGUGGCGCACGGGUGAGUAAUAUAUAGCUAAUCUGCCCCUUGCUGGAGGACAACAGUUAGAACUGACUGCUAAUACUCCAUAGCAAGGGAUGAGACGAUAUCGUAUCAGCUAGUCGGUGGGGUAACGGCCUACCUAGGCUAUGACGCGUAACUGGUCUGAGAGGAUGAUCAGUCAAAUUCGAAGUGAGACACGGUGCAGAAUCAUUCGGGAGGCAGCAGUAGGGAAUAUUGCGCAAUGGGGGAAGCCCUGAAGGACCAACGCCGCGUGGAGGAUGACCAUUUUGGGAGCGUAAACUCAUUUUGUUAGGGAAGCGGUACCUAACGAAUAAGCACCGGCUAACUCCGUGCCAGCCGCCGCGGUAAUAC